UACGUAGGGGGCAAGCGUUGUCCGGAUUCAUUGGGCGUAAAGAGCGUGUAGGCGGCCAGGUAGGUCGGUUGUGAAAACUGGAGGCUCAACCUUCAGAGGUCGACCGAAACCAUCUGGCUAGAGUCCGGGAGAGGAGAGUGGAAUUCCUGGUGUAGCGGUGAAAUGCGCAGAUAUCAGGAAGAACACCCGUGGCGAAAAGCGGCUCUCUGGAACGGUACUGACGCUGAGACGCGAAAAGCGUGGGGGAGCGAACAGG
rnacentral:rRNA from 1 species